GACACUUGCCCAUCUUUCAGCCUUUAAAUUGAGAGGAGCCACUAAAGAAAGCAUGCUUGGUGUUUCCCAAAGCUCCUGUGUCGAAAACAACCUAGACGUAACUGGUCAGAGAAAUAGUUUCUUCCUGGAUCCGUGUGAAAUCAGACUUUUCUGUGACUGGAGAUACUCGUGCCUGCAGAUCUGUGGUUACAAGCAAGGUAACCCUGAGUGGAUCCAGGUUUGAGGGGCCUGAAGUCUUGAGACCUGUUUUAAGAGCCAGAGGACAAAAUUAUCAGUAGUAAAAACAGGUCCAUAGAGGAGGGCCUGUACGCCUUUCUCUCUAUACCCCUCCUCCAUGCUCUCUGAGAGUCCAUAUAUUCCAUGGCAAAUCCUUGAAGGACCCUGACACUUGCAAGGUGUCAAACUGGGGGCUGUGGUCAGAAUCACACAAUGCACAACUCUAACUAGAGGACAGGAACAGGAGUUUAGGAUGUUUCAGAAGAUUGGAGGAUUGAAGACAUCAUUUGGGAUUAAGAUACUGAUUUGGCACUCACCAUUGCUGGGUCCAGCUUGCAGCUGGGAAAUCUUUUGCUGAUAGAAGGGAAUAUGGGGGAUUCUUGUUGCAUUUGGAGACAGCACUUGAUUGCUGAUUAAAAUCUGCAUCACUAAUGUAAACCUGAACCUUUCAGGAAGCAGGCUGUGAGACAUCCUAAUUAGUGUGAAAUUAUAUUUCCCAGAGAUGUUGCAGUCCUGAUCCACACAGACCUACAGCACUGUAAUUCCCUAGGUAGGGCAAGUGUUCCCAUGGAUCAGGCAUUUGUGAUUGCACAGACUAGAACUUAGGCUCAAAUGUAAUUUCCCCACCUUCAUUCCCAACCCCUGAAAACCACUUUCAUAAUCAUUACUCAAAUGAAAGAUGUUCAGUUUUCCCCCCAUGUUGUAAAACAGGUGACUUCCUUGUAAGCCUGUGAAUUCAUCCACAGACCUUUGUGGGUAAACCAGGCAAGUGUUUUUAACAGAUCAACAACUGUUGUCGGAAUGUAGCCACUGGAGGAGGGGGAUCUAAGGCU